AGCUCCAAUAGCGUAUAUUAAAGUUGUUGCAGUUAAAAAGCUCGUAGUUGAAUUUCUGGUCAUUCUUAGUCUUGGCUUCGGUCGGGCUAAGGUUGGCCAUCCGUCUACAAGCUGCUCUCGGCCUUCACUGGUUCGGAGUAGUGAGUUGACAUUUUACUUUGAAAAAAUUAGAGUGUUUCAGGCAGGCUUUUGCCCGAAUACAUUAGCAUGGAAUAAUGGAAUUGGACUCCGGUUCAUUUGGUUGGUUAUUGAAUCUGAGUAAUGGUUAAUAGGGACAGUUGGGGGCAUUAGUAUUUAAUUGUCAGAGGUGAAAUUCUUGGAUUUAUUAAAGACUAACUUAUGCGAAAGCAUUUGCCAAGGAUGUUUUCAUUGAUCAAGAACGAAAUUAGAGAACCUGUG
rnacentral:rRNA from 1 species